CGCCCAAAUUAAAUUAGCUAGGGCUCAACAGUAACAUUUCGUUCUCUCUUUCCUUCACGCUACAUCUCUUUCUCAAAUCUCCUUGAAGAUGCGCCGAUCCUUCCUUCCUCCUCACGUUUUGCCGCCGAUCCUUUCUUCUCAGUUGGCGGUGGUGCUGCUCUUCUUUCCUCCUUAGCUUGCCGCCGGUCUUCAUUGUUUUAAUUUCUUGCGCCAUUGUUAUCUUGCUCGGUUAGAAAGCAAUUUUGUUUGCUAAAUGGCGUGAAAGUUGUUGCUCUUUCUUCCUUCCCCCUCACCUACGGGCGACAAGAAGUAUUCAGCAAGUAAUUUCGUGCUUUCAAUUUCAUGACAAUCCCUUGUUAAAUUUAGUUCAAGUUCAAUUUGCUGAUCUCUACCGGAAUGGAGUUGCCGCCAGGUCGCCUGGGGUAAAAGCUACUGCCAUUAACGCCCCUUCAUUACCCCUUGAAAAAACCGCCUAUACCAAACGACGUACCCCUUCAGUUUCUCCUUUCAAUAUAUAAUGGAUUGAUUCCUCCCCAAUUCGUCACUAUUAAUAGAUUGAUCCUCUCUCACCCUCUACCAGACUAUCUCUCUGAUUUUUUCAAGGUUUAUAAUACCCAAAUGCUUGAGCCUUUCAGUGCUAGCGAGAUAGAUGAAAUACGAGACAUGUUUGCUUUGUUUAUGCUCAAUAAUUAUAUUUGAAUGCCUUUAGAACGUUAUUAGUAGUUAGUACUCUUUAUUUGAACUUAGAAAUAUAUGUGUAUUAUGUAAUUUGUAUUUCAACUUUCUUUAUUUGUAGGUACAAUUAUUUACAUGAUUUUAUUAUUUAAAAUAUAUAAUAUUAUGUUAUUAUAGU